GACGAACGCUGGCGGCGUGCUUAACACAUGCAAGUCGAACGGAAAGGCCCUGCUUUUGUGGGGUGCUCGAGUGGCGAACGGGUGAGUAACACGUGAGUAACCUGCCCUUGACUUUGGGAUAACUUCAGGAAACUUGGGCUAAUACCGGAUAGGAGCUCCUGCUUCAUGGUGGGGGUUGGAAAGUUUCGGCGGUUGGGGAUGGGCUCGCGGCUUAUCAGCUUGUUGGUGGGGUAGUGGCUUACCAAGGCUUUGACGGGUAGCCGGCCUGAGAGGGUGACCGGCCAAAUUGGGACUGAGAUACGGCCCAGACUCCUACGGGAGGCAGCAGUGGGGAAUAUUGCAUAAUGGGCGGAAGCCUGAUGCAGCAACGCAGCGUGCGGGAUGACGGCCUUCGGGUUGUAAACCGCUUUCGCCUGUGACGAAGCGUGAGUGACGGUAAUGGGUAAAGAAGCACCGGCUAACUACGUG
rnacentral:rRNA from 1 species